rnacentral:tRNA from 1 species
UGUCCAGGGAUGGGAAACGAACCCACAGUGUUCCGCUUACCGGGCAGAUGCCAUGUCCACUAGACUUCCCAUCCCUGGAC